rnacentral:lncRNA from 1 species
GCGUGAUACGUUGAAUAUAUAUUGACAGAAAAUCAAGUUGCUCAACCCCAAACUCCAUCGUCUUUAUUCAAAAACAAACCCAAGGGCUCAAAUCUGCACAUAGAUUCUAUUGAAUCUUUUGUGGCUCAAAUCCAAGGGCUUUCUGGAAAUUGAUCAGACAUUAAUCAUCUUUACAACCUUCUCAAACAAUCCGAAGAGUUACUUCACUCCGAGUCAACUCGCUUAGUUUCUUCGGUCGCCGAACUCGACCCUUCUAUUCACUCCCUCGGCUACCUCUAUUUCUUGUAAGUUCCUUUUGAAGGAUUAAUUUUGCAUGUAAUUGGUUGCUCAAAAGUUAUCAUAUACUUUAUGAGUGUGAAACAAUAAAAAUAAAUCAAGGGAAAAUCAUAGCAAACCGCAAUAAUCCAUUGGACCAAAUGAAAAAAGCAAAAAUUAACACCCAGAAUUAGGAGAAAAGAUAUUAAAAGCUUUUAUUGAUAAUAUUGAGUUGGUCUGCUUUUCCAUUGAGACAUUUAGAGCCUUAAAAUGUUGUUUCCCUUUCCCAUAAUAGGGGUCUCAUUGUAUCUUUCCUCUUUCUCAUGAAUAGUGGCGAAGAAGCAGCGCCCUAUUUAGGGUUCCCUCUCUUGGUAUUUAUAAUUGUGAGCUUCAUGGGUUGCCAAUAAGUGGCCGUGACCACGUUGUGUAUUUGCCCUCAUGAUGGUGAGUGGGCCGUCGCCUUAUUGGCCGAGUCAGAUAAGGGUUAAACACCAUUGGCUUUAAGUGGUCAUAUGAGUUAUUAAUCGUGAAUUAACCCAAAGAUAGGAUUACCUCGUUAAUUGUCGUGGGGUCAGAUUAUGACCCAUAUAGUUAGUCCCUCCGCUUAUUGGGGUCGUGCCCUGGCCGAACUCUAUGAGCAUACUUUGUCGACUGUAAUUCAAGAAAUUCAGGGAGGGGGGUCAACUGUUUCUUCGGUCGAGGUCAAAUUCUCUUUGGCGAUGGUUCUUAACUUUAAUAUUAUCGACGAACUUAGUCGUUUAUAUAUUGAAGAUGACCUUAGCCAUGAUACUAUUGACGACCUUAGCCGUUUACACAAUGGAGAUGGCCUUAGCGCUAAUACUAUCGACAGCCUUAGCCGUUUACACAAUAGAGAUAGCCUUAGCCUUAAUACUGUCGAUGGCCUUAGCGGUUUACACAAUGGCGAUAGCCUUGCAGAGUGUUAGUGUUUCGGUAUUUGUGUUGGAUCAUCAUUUGAUCGAGGUAGAACUCUCCUCUUUGGCGAAGAUGUUUAGACUUUAUAUUAACUCGACUGAAGUUGUGCUUUAUUGUUUAUUAAAAUUACGACCACUCGGAGACUGGUAGUAUGCUGUAUGACCGAGGAGGACGAGAAUGCGCUUGGCACGCUUUUGGCAACGUCUGAAAUUUCCAGGGCGUAUGGAACAUACCCUCAGCGUACACAAGCCUUUAUGAUCGUUUUGACGGCGAGGCAGCGGUUAGUAACUGAAAAGUCGCUUCGUGGAUCCUAUCUUUUUGACACACAUUUCUGUAAAAAACAAACCAUUUUGCGGUUGGUCAUGUAGUUAAUGAUGGCUAUUGAGGUUCGUGAAAGACACUUGUGUGCUUAUAAAUAAAGGGUUGAGACAUUUAUUUCUCACAUUCUCAUUGUUGGUCUAAGAGAGAUUUGAAGAAACUCCUCUUCUUGUUAUUUCAUCUUCCUCUUGUUCUUCGAUUAUUACAACUUACAUUUUGCCCACCAAAAAUUACCUUGUUUUUGUCAGUGAAUCAGUGAUGGCAGGUAGUUAUUCUCAAAAUGUUCUCCUAGUGAAUUUUAUGGUUAUUUUCCCGGUGGUUGAGGUACUAUCUCCAGUAAUGGGAGGUGCAGGACUGGCGGAGAUCGACGAAACUCCAUCGAUUGAUGAGAUAUUGUCUAUACCUGGAGGCAUGAUGAUUGACUUCACCAACGAUGGUGGAGAGGAUCAGGUGUAUGAAGCCCUAUUAAUCAGGGAAGUUGGAUGGUCCAAAUGCGGGAAUAGUGUGGAAUCCCCAGCUAUGCUGACAUCGUUCUCACUCGAAGCGAGGAUAGGGUACAUACCGACCGCACGGGGUACUGCGUCUUCUACACCUAUCCCUUCAAGUUGGGAUUUAAUCUUCCACUCCCCAUGCUGAUAGUUGAUUUUUGCCGCUAUUACGGGGUGUGCCUGGGUCAGCUUGCUCCUUCCCUUUAUAAACUUUUGGCGAUGUUCAUCAAGUACGCAAAACUGGCCAGUAGGGAGGUUACGCUGCAGUACGUACCCAGUCUUCAUGCUCCCUAGAGGGUACGCGGUACCAUGAUUUGAGCACGUCCUCGUGGGUCGAGGGACCUUACCCUAGAGUUGGACGAUGAGGCCGGGCUUUGCUCUUUCAAGUAUUUCUUAUAUAUCAGAACUAAUCACUUAGUGGAGUCCUUACCUGAGUUCUCAGAGGCUUGGAACCAUUCACGUAAGUUUCUUAAUAGUUGAAUUCUCUCUUUUGACCCUCUUUACGUCUUGCACCUGUAAGCGUCAAUUUUUGUGAACUUUGUUGCUGAAAGGUCGCCACCAGCUCUGCUAGCCGGUAUACGUGAGUGGGUAGAGGCCGUGCUUCCCCAAACGGUGGGGAUAUGCACGUGGGCGUCUUUCUGGGAGAGGCAUGGCCACGUUUGACAGGUUAAAAGUUGAUUUUUUCUCCUAUCCCAGUUUUAAUUCUGUUUAUCAGCUUUGUUUUUUUUGUGAUCAGGGAGGGUACGCCACGUCAGGGCCCCUCAGUUGGCUUUCCGUCAGUCAGGUGCGAUUGCUCGACUUACUACAGCAACGGUGCGGCGCCCAGUACCGAGGGCAGCAUCAGUUGAAUCUUCGGUGGCUCCUUCUCUAGCACAGGCCACACUUCGGGAUGAGGGACCAUCAGGGGUCGUGCGCCCCAGAGCUGAAUCUCCUUAACCUAAGGAGGAGAAAGAGAGGCCAUUGGUAAGACAGAGGGUCGUGUUCAUGCUGGCUCCACCUGUGGUGAUUAAUUUGGACUCCCCCAGCUGAUACAAAGAGGAGUGCGGCUGCGGCGCCUACCCUUGAGGGCGAACAAGUUGUAGGGGUUGCCCCAGUUAGCUUAGGCCAUGAUGAUACUAUCGUUUCGGUAACUCAGUUGGUGGUUCCAGUUACUGAGAUGGGAGGUAGUUCCUUAGCGGCUGCUUUUAUUGGUGAAUCAAGCACCCCUUUGACGCCAGAAGGUGGAAGGGAUGCUGUGGAUGAGUACGGGUCUGAAUCUAACUUGGACUCUGAUAAUUUUCGUAUACUACGAGAUGACUUCACCAAUUCAACGGUGCAUGCAAAGGUGCGAUCUCUCUUCAUUGAGGUUCCCAUAGAUUUGAACUUAUUGCUCCAAGGGAAUAGCUUGGUGCCAUUGUUUGAGGUGUUAUGCUCAGAGGCCAAGAACGCGCCAUUGAGGGAUGUCACGUAUAUCGGGUUGAUGAGUGAAGUGGCCGUGAUGGGCCUGAGGGUGUGUAUUAUGAUAUUGGUCCAUUUUUUCUUGCCUUCGUCUAUUUUUUAUCUCUCUUUUGUUGUUUUUCCUUUGCAGUCUUAUUUGUUGGAGGUGGAGGGCAUCCAUCGAGCCAACGUCCGCUCUGGGAUAUUUCUGCGGGUGCUGGAUAAGUACCGCCGCUACCGAGUUGGUUUUGAGGGUUUCGUGAGCCUUUGAGGUCCGAUCCUUGCAAUCGGGCUUUGGUCGAGGAGAUGGCGAGGCGGGAGCUUCAGUUACAUCAAUUACUUGGUAGAACGCACACCCUCGAGGAGCAGCUUUGUCAGAAGGACGAGGAACUUGAGGCGGGAAGGAGAGCUGCGGCUGAGAGUGAGCGAAGGGGCCAAGAUAAGGAGGCGGGAGUUUGCUGCGGCCUGGAGCGGGAAAGUGGCCGCUUUGGAGAUUGAGGUUGCGGCUCUAAGGCUUCAAGUUAGUGCUGCCUCCUCGAGAGUUGCAGGGUUGGAGGAGGAAAUUCGUGUGCAUGAAUCUUAGUGUGGAUCAGAAAGGGCUACGGCGGCCGAGAGGGAAGCAGGGCUCGAGGAGCGGAUCAACCUUCUUGAGCAGGAGGCCCAAGUUACGGUGGAUCAGGUCGCGGCCCUAGAAAGAGAGAAUCAACAGUUGUGGGACCAAGCUAGCGCUUCCAGCCAGGCUCGUGAGUUUGGGUCUUUGCUGAGGCCCAACGUGAUGUGUAUAAGAAUUUGCGGGAGGCCGGCAUCGUGAGUUGCUUUCAAAGAAGAGUGCCAAAAGGCUUAUGAGGCCUGUAGCAACUAUGGUUUUGAGGCGGCUAUGCCAGAGGUUGAUGGUGGUGCAAGUGGUAGCGCGGACGGAGCCUAAUAGAUUUGUUUUUGUUUUUUUAUUUUAUUCACCGCUUGGCGUUUGGGUGCUUCUUGUUUUUCUUUUUAUUUUUCUUUGUACCGAUCGACCUUGGCUGGGUGUAAGCGGGGAUGACCCGCAAUUAACUUUGUAGAUAAAUGAAGUUCCUUUUUCAUUAUUUGCUUCGUACUUAUUUUUUUGCCUUCCCUUCUUCCCUCAUAGACUUUUCUUUGCACGUGUUCGAAAGGGUGAUUUUCCUUCGAGUUUGACCCUGCUAGGCAUGUUUAUUUUUGAUUGUUGACUACUUAUUUCUUCAACUCGGUGUGAGUUACCUUCCCUUCUUCCCCCUUAGACUUUUCUUUGCACGCGUUCGAAAGGGUGAUUUGCCUUCGAGUUUGACCCUGCUAGGCAUGUUUAUUUUUGAUUGUUGACUACUUGUUUCUUCAACUCGGUGUGAGUGAGUCGGAGGCGUUACUUGGCGAUAGUGGCACAUAGCCUUUGUCUCAGUUCCGGCGUGGUCGAACUACCGGCCGUGAUGAUAAAAGCGUGACUUUGUAGUGUCACACCUCCCUUUUCACCUACACCCACAGAGGCAUAAGGGAAUUUUUCCAAUUAAAGGAAAAUUGGAACAAGAUUUAAUAUUAAGAGAUUCAGAGUCGCCACUUGAGAGAUUUAUGGUGUCCCAUGUCACCGGUUGAAUCCCGAAUCGAUGAAAAGAUUGACUUUGUAUUACAGUCCGUGAACCAGAAAUCCGAGUAAGAAAUUCUGUUAACCUGGAGAAGGUGUUAGGCAUUCUCGAGUUCCGCGGUUCUUGAAUGGUCGCUCAACUGUUAUAUUUGGCUUAAAUUAUCCGAUUUUAACAAUUAUGAACCUAUGUGCCAAUUUUAACUUUAACCGCUUAUAUUCAUUUUUAAAGAAAAUUGCAACGUCAUUAAAACAAGUCUUGAACCACGUCACAUAAAUGCACCCGUGGUUUUUGCACAUACUUUAACAUUGUUGAGAUUUAGAUUUAGGUCACAUAAAUGCGCACCCGAGUUUAGGGAGGUAACGAUAUUAAUAUACACGCCUAAAGAGACUAAUGCAUUAUUAUUUUUGGGGAAGGCCAUGAAAUUAAAUAAACGGCCCGUCCCGAAAUCGAAGUAUUUUAAUACGAACCUUGAAAGAUGGCCCUACAAGUUAGGCAUUUUAUUUGGCGAGGCUCAUUUUAUUUGUUUUAAAAGAGUAUCCUAAAGAAAACUAUAAUUUUAUCCUUAACUUGUCUUUAAUAAUAAAAAUUAAAACCUAACUAAUUAUUAUAUUUUAAGAAAUACUUCAUUUAGACCUGCAAAAUCCAAACAGUCUACGCGAGGGAAUCGUAAUCCAUGCGCAACACAAACUGGACCAAUCGUAGGCAUGAGUACAGGCCCCAAACGGAUAUGCAUAUCAGACCCAGGCCUGGGCCAUUCAUUUCGGCCCUGAAGCUUGCACUUUAUGCAAAGGGGCUGUCGAGCCCCAGCCGUUAAAUUAAACAAUGCUUCAGUUCAUUGUGCACAAGUGUUCACUGAAAGUUUUAAACCGUCAAAUUUAAUGAACUAACUCAACGAAAUCAACAAUUAUUCUCUGAUUUUUUACCCCAGCCCUUAUGCUAACAAAAAUUACCAACUCGAGUUCAUGUAUCUAUCAGAUUUAAAGCCGUUGUUCAUUCUAGGAAUUAACACGAACAAUCACGGAAAAGCUUAACUCGUUGAGGUGAUUAGCUAUUAUACCAUGUUAUUCAUACAAUUAGUCAUGUCUAAUUUUAUACCUGCUUGUGCCCCCAACAUCCUAAAUAUGGAAGCUAUGGUAAUUGGCUAUUACGAUCCAGAUUCACCUUCACAUUAACAUCACAACUAACUAAAUUAACUAUAGCAAAUCUGAGUAGCUCAUACAGUCACAUUCAUAUAAUCAAUAAUCCAAUGUUUCUCUAGUUUAAUUACAAGACAAGUUUCAGAAGUUCUAAUCAAUACUAAUGCAUAUUUGAAAUCUAUAACUACAGGCUAAACUAAUAGUGAAAUACAAAAGCAAAUUCAUAUGGUAGAAUUUCCUCGUCAUUUGAUUUCAUAAUCGUUCAGAUACAUCGAAUGAAACUUCAAGGCAUUAGAGACAACAUGAUACUUGGAAAUAUAAUCGAGUAGAAAGAGAAGUUAGCAAUAGAAGAGCAGAUAUCAACAACCAGGAGUUCAAACAGCAACCAUCACAGUUCAAGACCAAUGUUUUUACCCAGAAUCAACUCAACCACAGCCCAGAAAAAGUUGUAAAACCAACAGCAAUAGCAAAUACCAAAAAAACAGACUCAAUCGAGCUUGAAUUAAAUCAAAACUUAAUCAGUAGACUACUGAACCACUUCAGCAAUGAGAAUCACUGUUCAGAAUUUGAAUUGAACCUAGGAAUGCAAUGAAACAAUAUAUUUUGGUUUUAACAAUCUCUCCAUAACUCUCAAACAAUGUUUUUCCAACUCUCUGACACUCUCAAAAUGCUCUCUAAACUCUCAAAAAAACAGAAUGCCUUGGCUUUCAAAAUGCUGUCUAAGACCUCAACUGAAUGCAAUCUCAACCCUGAAUCUCCACUCAAUGGAACAAUAGGGACAAAUGUAUAUGUCUAUAUUCUCGGUCUAUUUUUUAGUCUCAAAAACCGAUUUUAAGCCCUCAAAAACUGACCUUUACGAUUGAUUAAAGACUUGUGUUUCUUUUUCAGUUUUUCAAAUUCUCUAAACUCUCUAAAACUGAUCCCUUUUUAAGCGCUCACAGACUAUCCAAAACUGACCAAAAUUCUCUCACUGCCUCUUAAAACUCUGUCUAUUACUCUUGUGUGUUCUAUGACUCUUCCCAUCAGAAUUUUCUCUUAAUGUCCAUUUAAAGAUCAAGUUUACUCCUCUUUUUCCCUUUUUUAUUCAAACACUUUUCUUUAUAGAUUGUAUAUUCCCUCCCUAUGUGCACCCUUUUAGCUUUUCAUUAUUACCCCUAUGGUAUCUACUUUCUAGCCCCUUUUCCUUUCUUUAUACUUGUAUUGUUUCAACUUUUUGUCCCCCAUGUUCUAUUCUAAUUUCCAGCCUUAAAAGGUACUAAGCCAACAAAAAAAUCUCCUUUUUAUUUAUUAAACAAACACUGGUAUGGGCAACCUGAAUUUCAAAUUUAGACGUGCCUUGACAGCGCAUGGCCUCCCACUCUAUCCUAACAUUUUAAUUUAGUGAAUCAACUUAAACUUCUUUAAUAAAUAAAUCCUAAUCUGGACUAACAAACAUGAUGCACAUUCAAAUAACAACUAAAACAAACAAAUUCACCACAUUCAACUAAUUAACCAAUUCAAUUCAACGUGAUGAGUGACAAAGCAAUUCAAACAUUGUGAUGAACUAAUCUUUAAUUUUAAGCAUACGAACUGACUUAAUUCAACACAGACAUAGAAAUAGAAAUGAAGCAGGAGGAGAAGAGGACUAGAAAUUAAAUGAAAAUCAUAAUGAAAAUAAAAGAAAAGGGAAUUAAAAUACCUAAAUGCCAAGGGGGUCUAUUAUGAAAUUGCUCCUCGUCCUUUUGAUUUGGACCGAAAUGAGUCUCGAUUAUGUGUUAUCAAAUGAAAACACAUGGUCUAGGUCUAUUUCGGUCUUCAUCGCUCCGUCGUUGGCUUUUAGGGUUUCGUCAAACUCAGGCCUCACCUCUUAUUUGAAAUUCGACACGUUUCAAAGGGAUUCGAGCGAAACGGGUAUCGGAUUUGGGGUGAGGGAGAUGGGAUUAUAUCAGGGUGUUAAUUUGGGAUGAUUUAGAGGUGGCGCCACCACCGAAGAAUCUUGUGGCGGCACUAAGGUUUGUGGCUUUAAAUGUGAUAUUCGUGGUGCUGGGCUGGGAUUUAAGGGAAAAUGGUUAGGGAUUCGGAAUGGGAAGGCCGAAGGGAAUUGGUGGUGUAAAAAUGGAGGUAUUUGGCCUACCGGAACCGCCCUGAGGCAAUUUCUGGUGGGUGGGGGUGGCGGAGUGAGGCAGGGAUAUCUGGUCUCUUCGAAGACGGAAAUGGGGAGGGGUUCUGAGGGGAAGGUAGGGUUUGGGGGAGGGGGGUUUGAUAUGUUAAAAUCUAAUUAACUAAUCUAGACCGUUGGAUCAAAUAAAUUCAACGGUUCAUAUUAGUUGAGGGGUCAAAAUGGGGUCGUUUGGCUUAGUGCUAGGGACUGGGUUG